CUCAGGUAACAGCAACCCGUACCGCAAACCGACACAGGUAGUCAAGGAGAGAAUCCUGAGGUGCUCGAGUGAUCCGCGGCUAAGGAACUAGGCAAUUAACCCUGUAACUUCGGGAAAAAGGGUGCCCUCCGCAAGGAGGGCCACAGUAAAAUGGCUCUGGCGACUGUUUAUCAAAAACACAUGGCUAUGCUAAACUGAAAGGUGAUGUAUAUGGCCUGACACCUGCCCGGUGCUGGAAGGUUAAGAGGAGAGGUUAUCAGCAAUGAGAAGCUUUGAAUUGAAGCCCCAGUAAACGGCGGCCGUAACAAUAACGGUCCUAAGGUAGCGAAAUUCCUUGUCGGGUAAGUUCCGACCUGCACGAAUGGUGUAACGAUCUGAGCACUGUCUCAGCCGCGAGCUCGGUGAAAUUGUAGUAUCGGUGAAGAUGCCGAUUACCCGCAACGGGACGGAAAGACCCCGUGCACCUUCACUAUAGCUUAACAUUGACUUUGGAUAAAUCAUGUGUAGGAUAGGUGGGAGACUUUGAAGUGGUGUCGCUAGGCAUCAUGGAGUCAACCUUGAAAUACCACCCUUGAUUUAUUUGGAGUCUAACUCCUCACGGAGGACAUUGUUUGGUGGGUAGUUUGACUGGGGUGGUCGCCUCCAAAAAAGUAUCGGAGGCUUUCAAAGGUACCCUCAAUACGCUUGGUAACCGUAUGUAGAGUGCAAUAGCAUAAGGGUGCUUGACUGUGAGACUUACAAGUCGAGCAGGGCCGAAAGGCGGAUAUAGUGAUCCGGUGGUUCCGCAUGGAAGGGCCAUCGCUCAAAGGAUAAAAGGUACGCCGGGAUAACAGGCUGAUCCCUCCCAAGAGCUCAUAUCGACGGGGGGGUUUGGCACCUCGAUGUCGGCUCGUCACAUCCUGGGGCUGGAGAAGGUCCCAAGGGUUCGGCUGUUCGCCGAUUAAAGUGGCACGCGAGCUGGGUUCAGAACGUCGUGAGACAGUUCGGUCCCUAUCUGUUGUGGGCGUUAGAAAUUUGAGAGGACCUGACUCUAGUACGAGAGGACCGAGUCGGACGGACCGCUAGUGUACCAGUUGUGGUGUCAACUGCGUCGCUGGGUAGCUAUGUUCGGAUGAGAUAAGCGCUGAAAGCAUCUAAGUGCGAAACUCACCUCAAGAUAAGAUUUCUUUAAAGGGUCGUAGAAGAUUACUACGUUAAUAGGUUGUAAGUGUAAAGACAGUAAUGUCAAAGCUGAGCAAUACUAAUUACCC
rnacentral:rRNA from 1 species